rnacentral:rRNA from 1 species
CAGGGGUCAGCUUUGAGCCCUUAUCUUUUUGCAUUGGUGAUGGAUGAGGUCACAAGGGGUAUACAAGGAGAUAUCCCAUGGUCUAUGCUCUUUGCGGAUGAUGUGGUGCUAGUUGACGAUAGUCGGACGGGGGUAAAUAGGAAGUUAGAGUUAUGGAGACAAACCUUGGAAUCGAAAGGGUUUAGGCUUAGUAGAACUAAAACCGAGUACAUGAUGUGCGGUUUCAGUACUACUAGCUGUGAGGAGGAGGAGGUUAGCCUUGAUGGCCAGGUGGUACCUCGGAAGGACACCUUUCGGUAUUUGGGGUCAAUGUUGCAGGAGGAUGGGGGUAUUGAUGAAGAUGUGAACCAUCGAAUCAAAGCCGGAUGGAUGAAGUGG